AGCUUUGUGCAGUAGCACAAAGUAUAGUAGCCAGUGAAGUUUAUCCGGGGUGUGGUUAUUAUUAAUUGAAAACUUUUCCCAGUUCCCUACCUUUAUGACUUGAAUGUAGUUGGCAUUGGCAAUAUUUGAUAGUCUCUAUGAAGG